CCUACGGGGGGCAGCAGUGGGGGAUAUUGCACAAUGGGGGAAACCCUGAUGCAGCGACGCCGCGUGGGUGAAGAAGUAUCUCGGUAUGUAAAGCCCUAUCAGCAGGGAAGAAAGAAGACGGUACCUGACUAAGAAGCCCCGGCUAACUACGUGCCAGCAGCCGCGGUAAUACGUAGGGGGCGAGCGUUAUCCGGAUUCACUGGGUGUAAAGGGAGCGUAGACGGCCGUGCAAGCCAGGAGUGAAAGCCCGGGGCCCAACCCCGGGACUGCUCUUGGAACUGUGCGGCUGGAGUGCGGGAGGGGCAGGCGGAAUUCCUGGUGUAGCGGUGAAAUGCGUAGAUAUCAGGAGGAACACCGGCGGCGAAGGCGGCCUGCUGGACCGCGACUGACGUUGAGGCUCGAAAGCGUGGGGAGCGAACAGGAUUAGAUACCCUGGUAGUC
rnacentral:rRNA from 1 species